UCUGGAUAGUCAACAAAGGGAGAGAAG
rnacentral:piRNA from 1 species